GUAGGCGUAGUUUAAGUAAAGCACUAGAUUGUGAUUCUAGAAACAAGAGUUAAACUCUCUUCGCCCACC
rnacentral:tRNA from 1 species